AUAUUUUUCUAAAAGCAAAAUGACUGUUAUUAAAAUAGAAUAUUAAUUAAUUUAAAUUAUAAUUCGCGAAGUUAGAGUCAGUGAGUUCGCCGAUUAUUACUUAAAUGCGCGUUGACAGUCUUUUAUUUUUUUUUUUUGUAUUUUUUCUUGUUCAGUGUUCGUUUUCGGUACAUUAGAGUCAAAGUGCUCAAGAAGAUAAGGCCUCUUCUGGAGAUCAAGAUCACGUUUCACAGCAUCAACUUUUUGAUAUAUUUUGGGGAAAAUUCAACAGUGGUUCCAAAGCCAAGAAUAUUAUCUACAAUCUCCCUUUCCGCUAAUCUUUUAAGGAUCUUAUGCUGCUUCAAAAGCUAAAAAUGAAAUUUUUCACGUCAUUCACCAUCGGUAUCUACUUGAUGAGGGUCUUCACGAUAACUUUCCUUAAUCUAGUGCAACAUCGAUGAUAACGUUCUUCACUUCUGUCGCUAUGUUACAGAUUUAUCAAUGGAUCUAUGUGGGUGGAUAAAAGAUGGACUAACAUGGAUUGUGGAAUUUAAACGGAGUGAUGCCUGGAUCCUGCCUAAUGGUAAUUAAAUUUAUUUCACAAAUGU